UACAGAGGGUGCGAGCGUUGUUCGGAAUUACUGGGCGUAAAGCGCGCGCAGGCGGCCCGUUAAGUCCACCCGUGAAAUGCCGGAGCUCAACUCCGAGCGCUGCGGGGGAUACUGGCGGGCUAGAGACACGUAGGGGCUAGCGGAAUUCCGGGUGUAGCGGUGGAAUGCGUAGAGAUCCGGAAGAACACCAGUGGCGAAGGCGACUCACUGGACACGUAUUGACGCUGAGGUGCGAAAGCGUGGGGAGCAAACAGGG
rnacentral:rRNA from 1 species